rnacentral:rRNA from 1 species
UUUUGCGCAAUACGGGAAACCCUGNCGCAGCAACGCCGCGUGAGCGAAGAAGGCCUUCGGGUCGUAAAGCUCUGUCAAGUGGGAAAAAAGCUUACUGGUAAAUAGCCAGGAAGACUGAUGGUACCAUUGAAGGAAGCACCGGCUAACUCCGUGCCAGCAGCCGCGGUAAUACGGAGGGUGCAAGCGUUGUUCGGAAUUACUGGGCGUAAAGGGCGUGUAGGCGGUGUGGUUAGUCAGAUGUGAAAGCCCUGGGCUUAACCCAGGAAGUGCAUUUGAAACUGCCAUGCUUGAGUAUGGGAGAGGAGAGUGGAAUUCCCAGUGUAGAGGUGAAAUUCGUAGAUAUUGGGAGGAACACCCGUGGCGAAGGCGACUCUCUGGACCAAUACUGACGCUGAGGCGCGAAAGCGUGGGGAGCAAACAGGAUUAGAUACCCUGGUAGUCCACGCCGUAAACGAUGAGCACUAGGUGUAGCGGGUAUUGACCCCUGCUGUGCCGUAGCUAACGCAUUAAGUGCUCCGCCUGGGGAGUACGGCCGCAAGGCUAAAACUCAAAGAAAUUGACGGA